AACCCAUUAUCACCGAUUUCUUAUCGCACUUAAUCCCGUCUUCUCCUCCAUUAACAAUGCCAUUAUUUGCGCCAUUCAACCUCUUUGAUUCAUACCAUGAUAAUUAUGCGUUACGUUAGAAGAGAUAUCCUUUGGAAUUUUCCCUAUAUAAACCUCAACAGAAGUUAUCAUCUUCCCAGGUUUCUCCAUUUCUUUGUUCCGCAUACUCUAUCAAGGCUAUUAGGGUUUCCCCUUACCAUCGACAACUCCAGGUAGAAUGUGCAGAAGAUUUGGAUUUUGUUGAUCUUUUCAUUGCAGCGAGUAUACCAAGAUUCAAUUAUGCCUUUUAAGCCAUAUCCCUUCCCUUUAUAUGAGGGAUAGGGAAGGGAUGCCCUCUCCCAUAGUGCUUGGCUUCAAUGAUUGUUUUUUACUCUGUGAAUGGUAAUUAAGAACCAUUGUGAUGCACUGCACCCUCUCCUCAACCAACGUCAACAGAGUGUACACCAACAUUGACUUACCUGAAAUAUUCAAAUGUAAGAAAGGCUGCUAAUGUCGCUGUAUGUAAAGCCAGACCUGCACAUUGACAAAGUCACGACCAAUUAACCAACUAACCAUUGCCCAGUUACUUUACCGAAAUUACUUAUUGAGAAUGGUUGGUAUUCUCUUGCUUUCUAUGGUUGCAACAAGGAAGCUGUUUGAGGAUGCUGACCAUUGAUGCAUAAAAUGUACCUUAUCCACGUUGAAGUUGAUGAUGCAGUCGUACUGCCGUUUUUUAUCACUCUUAAAAUCUGCUGGAAUCAUUGAAGACAGCCGUGCUUUCAGGGUUCUCACCAAUUCUUCACCAAGCGGGUUCUCACCAAUUCUUCACCAAGCAGUGGAUUUUCAAGGUUCUCAACAACUGCAAGGAUUUUUGUUACUUACUUCCAAACCAAGAUCUUCUGCAAUUCUUACCUUUUAAAAGCGUCAACAUGAGAAUAUGAUAUUUUCACGACUGAAGUUCUCAUUCGCAAACUGUGACUACUACAAUCAUCUUCACAAAGGGCACAGUCAGUUGUAUCAGACAUGUACACAUUUGACGAACUUUACACAUGUUUUAUGAAGCUACUGGAGGAGGUGGGGUGAUGGAUAUAGAGGAUGAGGAGGUGAGGUGGUGGUGGUGUUGGAUGAGGAGGUGAGGUGGUGGUGCUUGACAACAUGUGCAAUUGACAUGUACAGUAAUUUUAUGUGCAAGCAACUUUAGUAAACAUGUUUAAAAUAAGGACACAUUAUAAACAGAGAAAUCACACGUUGCUACUUUUCUGACUGCCUGUUCGAGGUAAUAAACAGAGAUGGUUGUGCAUUUAGUUACCUCGUAAGCAGGUAUCGUUCUGAUUAACGGGCUUAUACCCUAAGAGGAUGUCAUUGGUUUUGUACUAUAUUGAUGUAACAACUGCAUUGGACCAGGAAGAAUCACUGAUUAAGCAUAAGUUAGACAUCAAGCAUAAGUUAGACAUCACGAUCAUGGUGUAUAUACGCAUUCAUUCCCAAUUCCCAAACUUGUAUAAAGUGGGGUUUCAUUGGGAAAUCCGUGUGGUAGGAUUUAAUUUAAUGAUGUAUAAUAGAAAACUUUUAUCACAGACUCGCAUACGUUUCCACAA